rnacentral:rRNA from 1 species
UACGGAGGGUGCGAGCGUUGUCCGGAAUCACUGGGCGUAAAGGGCGCGUAGGUGGCACGGCAAGCGUGCGGUGAAAGCGCGGGGCUCAACCCUGCGUCGGCCAUGAAUACUGCCGCGGCUGGAGCACUGUAGAGGCAGGCGGAAUUCCGGGUGUAGCGGUGGAAUGCGUAGAGAUCCGGAAGAACACCGGUGGCGAAGGCGGCCUGCUGGGCAGUUGCUGACACUGAGGCGCGACAGCGUGGGGAGCAAACAGG